rnacentral:misc_RNA from 1 species
GCCAGAUUAUUGCACAUCUAGGAAACUAGGUAGAAUUAGAAGUUGCACUUGCAGUGGUUAAGGACUGAGGGUUGACACUUGAGCCCGAAUUGAGGGCCUCAGAGACACCAGCACCAAGGGAUGAAGAUCCGGAAAAAGUAUUAACGUUGGCAUCAUCAUAAGAGGCAAUAUUUUCCGGCGUAAGCAUCUCUAAUUGCAAUUUGGGCAAUGGAGCUUUGGCAUUGAGUAUAUCAAGAGCUUCCCUAAUUGAUGGACGACGAGAGUGAUUUGGAUGAGCACAAGAAAGCCCAACAACAAUCAAUCGUUCCAUCUCCUCCCGAGCAUAAUUUUGGUCUAGUUGUGGAUCGGCUGCACCAAAAGUAUUUCCUCUUCGAUACUGCUCCCAAGCCCACUCCACCAGUUUCACCCGAAUUUUUACACCAUUUUCAUUAACUGCAGCUUUUAAAGCAGGCCUUCCGCUUGCUAUUUCCAGAACAACUACACCAAAGCUAUAGACAUCUGAUUCUUUAGAAGCCUUGCUGGUUAACAGAUACUCCGGAGCUACAUAUCCGUCUGUCCCGAUCAACCUUGAAGUGUCUGAGCCUUGGCCAUGCUCGACGAACGUAGCCAGCCCAAAAUCACCAAGCUUAGCAUUGAAGUUAGAAUCCAGCAAGAUAUUGCUUGACUUGAUAUCUCGAUGGAGUACACAUUGUUCACAUUCUUCUUGCAGGUAAAGCAGUGCCGUGGCCAAGCCCAAAGCUAUACCAUAUCUCUUCUCCCAUGUCAACAGGCAUGUUUUGUUAAAAAGAUGGAAAUCCAAGCUCUUAUUUGGAACGAACUCGUAGAUAAUGAAAAGUUCUUGCUUGUUGCGGCACCAGCCAAUGAGUAGGACCAAGUUCCUGUGCCUCAAUCGGCUGAUGGCUUUCACUUCUGAGACAUAUGCUUUUAAACCCUGAUGAGACUCUGAAGUAAUAAUCCUCUUCACGGCAACACAAGAAUUGUCGCUCAACAUACCAAUAUAUACCCUUCCAAAUCCUCCCUUUCCAAGCAGUCUUUCACUCGCAAAGUUAUUGGUUGCAAGAACCAAUUCCUCGUAGGAAAAGCUUCUCGGUCCGUUCUCCUUCUCAAAAUCGUCAUUUGAGCUGCCAGGCCCAUUUUCUGUCUGUCUUCUCCUCUUCUUGCAACAGACAUACCAAACCAAACCCAAAACUGACAAAACCGAAAUCAGAGUUCCACUAAUACCCAAGACAGCCCAUAUCCAUACUUUGUUCUCUCUUUUUGAAGAGAUAGCUGCUUGUGUAUUAGUGUGGUUGCCUAAAUUUUCAUCAACUUGCAAGGUUGAGUUAAAAUUCCAAGUGUGUAUCUCAUGCUCCUCGAAUAAAUCUAUGGUGGUGGAUGCUGAGAAGCCUACCGUAGCCCAUUCAUCUGUUAAAUAUUCUCUAAAGUCUACAAUAUAAUGAAGGUUAUACGAAUUAUUACCCGUGGAACUUUCUUCAUUACCAUUAGUUACAAGAACACUUAAAUUUUUUGAGCUGGAAUUGUAUUCAAUCCAAGCUUGAAUUUCUUCUCCAUUAGCUAUAUCAUCCUGUGUCCAGUUCGUGACAACGACAGAGGACAAUGAGUUGAGAUCAAUACCUAUGUGAUCAUUUCCAUCUGCAGGAUCCCAAUCACUACUCCAGCCAGAGUCAAAUUCAAUGGCAACAAAUGGAAGUUGCGCAUUGGUAUAGCUCAAAAGGCCAAGACGUCCGCCUCCUGACAAAGGCUCAAGUUUAGAACCAUUGUUGGCGAGGAAGAAUGCAAAUCCAUUGCCUCUGCUUUCAUUACCGUUGGAAUUCAUAGCGAAGGAAAAAUGAGUUUUGAAGUCUGCAAUAUUGCCAGACUUAUCCCAAAGGUGAAUUGGUUUGUAAUAUGUGGCUCGACCGACGCUACCAUUGGAGCUCAACUGAUCAAAGCUUUUGGUGAGUUUAAUGUAUGGAUCUUCAGCAUAUGCGUCUCCCUCCAACUUAAUCUCUGUCAUAUUAUAUGAGCUGAAUUCGUUGAAGCUAAAAGCGGUUGAUUCAGUGGAAGAUUGGAUUUUGAAAGGGAAGAAUGUAAACAAGAAUAGGAUGAUGAAUGUGCACAAAGACGGACGUUUGGAGGAUUCCAUGGUUG